UCAUUGGCUCUAGCAUGCUAGAACUGGGCUUACAAGGGAAUCUGACUGUUAAUAAAAACAUAGCUUUGUGUGUACGCAAAGUGAAUUCUGCCCAGUGCUUGGGACGUUAAGGAAGUAAUUUUAAGUACGCACCUGUAAACGGCGGGAGUAACUAUGACUCUCUUAAGGUAGCCAAAUGCCUCGUCGCCUAAUUAGCGACGCGCAUGAAUGGAGCAACGAGAUUCCCACUGUCCCUGCUCACAGAUUUGCGAACCUACAGCCAAGGGAACGGGCUUGGGACAUGCAGCGGGGAAAGAAGACCCUGUUGAGCUUGACUCUAGCCAAGCACAGGCCUCUGUGACUAUAUCGUAGCGAGGUGGGAGAAAUGUGUGAGACCACUGACAUAGUCGGCGGGGGCACUCGCAAAGCUUGGUGGGGAGUUUGGCUGGGGCGGCACGACUACUAAAACAUAACGUAGACGUCCAAAGGUAAGCUCCGAGGGGAUGGAAACCACUCCGAGAGUAUAAGGGCAAAAGCUUGCUUUAGUUAUUAAUGUAAAUUAAUAAUACUGGAAACAGGGGCCUAGAGAUCCUCUAUGAAACUAAGCAUAGAGGUGACGGAAAAGUUACCACAGGGAUAACUGGCUUGUGGCGGCCGAGCGUCCAUAGCGACGCCGCUUUUUGAUUCUUCGAUGUCGGCUCUUCCGAGCAUGGUGGAGUAUCAGCCACCAAGUGUGUGAUUGUUCACCAACUAACAGGGAACGUGAGCUGGGUUAGACCUCGCAGACAGUAGU
rnacentral:ncRNA from 1 species